GAGUUUGAUCGUGGCUCAGAUUGAACGCUGGCGGCAGGCCUAACACAUGCAAGUCGGGCGGUAGAGAGAAGCUUGCUUCUCUUGAGAGCGGCGGACGGGUGAGUAAUGCCUAGGAAUCUGCCUGGUAGUGGGGGAUAACGCUCGGAAACGGACGCUAAUACCGCAUACGUCCUACGGGAGAAAGCAGGGGACCUUCGGGCCUUGCGCUAUCAGAUGAGCCUAGGUCGGAUUAGCUAGUUGGUGAGGUAAUGGCUCACCAAGGCGACGAUCCGUAACUGGUCUGAGAGGAUGAUCAGUCACACUGGAACUGAGACACGGUCCAGACUCCUACGGGAGGCAGCAGUGGGGAAUAUUGGACAAUGGGCGAAAGCCUGAUCCAGCCAUGCCGCGUGUGUGAAGAAGGUCUUCGGAUUGUAAAGCACUUUAAGUUGGGAGGAAGGGCAGUAAAUUAAUACUUUGCUGUUUUGACGUUACCGACAGAAUAAGCACGGCUAACUCUGUGCCAGCAGCC
rnacentral:rRNA from 1 species